CUGGGAGUUGCCGCUCCCUGCGAGCAAUCAUCCUGCUGCUGCUCGCUACGAGCAAUCGCCCUGCCGCUGCUCCCUGUGAGCAAUCACCCUGCCGCUGCUCACUACGAGCAAUCGCCCUGCCGCCGCUCCCUGUGAGCAAUCGUCCUGCUGCUGCUCGCUACGAGCAAUCGCCCUGCCGCUGCUCCCUGUGAGCAAUCGCCCUGCCUCCGCCCUGCCUCUGCUCUCUGUGAGAGCAAUCACCCUGCCGCUGCUCACUACGAGCAAUCGCCCUGCCGCCGCUCCCUGCGAGCAAUUGUCCUGCUGCUGCUUGCUACGAGCAAUCGCCCUGCCGCUGCUCCCUGUGAGCAAUCGCCCUGCCUCCGCCCUGCCUCUGCUCUCUGUGAGAGCAAUCACUCUGCUGCUGCUCACUACAAGCAAUCACUCUGCCUCCACCCUGCCUCUGCUCCUUGCGAGCAAUCGCCCUGCCGUAGCACUUGUGUGCUUUGAUUAUCUCUACCAUGAAUGGCCAUACAUUGGGCCAGAAGUGAAUGAACAGUCUAUAUAGACUGAGUCUUCUCAAGAGUUGCUAUCUGGAUCCUGUGUCUAUCAUUACUGUGUAUAUAGAGAUUUCUCCAGCGUAGCACGUCCCCAUGCCCUUUGGAAGGCUUUUGAAGUGCAGGCAUUGCCUGUGUCUUCUCUGGGACGCUAAACCAAUACAUACAUACAUAC
rnacentral:sRNA from 1 species